UGGGCUAGACAACAUCAGACAGUCCUAGAGAUAGGAUCUUCCCUUCGGGGACUGGUGGUUCAGGUGCUGCAUGGCUGUCGUCAGCUCGUGUCGUGAGAUGUUGGGUUAAGUCCCGCAACGAGCGCAACCCUUGCCUUUAGUUGCCAUCAGGUAAAGCUGGGCACUCUAAAGGGACUGCCGGCGUUAAGCAGGAGGAAGGUGGGGAUGACGUCAAGUCCUCAUGGCCCUUAUGUCCG
rnacentral:rRNA from 1 species